rnacentral:misc_RNA from 1 species
AACGCACAUUGCGCCCCCUGGUAUUCCGGGGGGCAUGCCUAUUCGAGCGUCAUUAUCACCCCUCAAGCCUAGCUUGGUGUUGAGACCUGCUGUCAAGGCAGUCUCUAAAAUCAGUGGCAGUGCUGUCAGGCUCUAAGCGUAGUAAAUUCAUCGCUAUAGACACCUGGUGGACACUCGCCAGAACCCCCCCAUUUUUUAAUGAUUGACCUCGGAUUAGGUAGGGAUACCCGCUGAACUUAA